GCUGAACCAAAGCCGGAGGCUGCGCUGCGUGCGGCCUUCCCGGCUCUCUGAGGGAUCGGAUCGGCCCACCUGCCCAUCGGCCCUUCUGAGUAAAAGCUGGACAGUUAUGGCUAUGAGAAGGUUUCCUACAGAAACAGCAGUACUCCGCAACUUGUGGACCUAUGGAUGCAUCUCAAGGCAAAGAACCAUGGAAAAGUUUGUAAGAACUCAGACUGAAUCUAAGGGUUAUUAAUGCAGCUUAAUAAAAAG